AUUGAACGCUGGCGGCAUGCUUUACACAUGCAAGUCGAACGGCAGCGCGGGCUUCGGCCUGGCGGCGAGUGGCGAACGGGUGAGUAAUACAUCGGAACGUGCCCAGUAGUGGGGGAUAGCUCGGCGAAAGCCGGAUUAAUACCGCAUCCGACCUGAGGGUGAAAGCGGGGGAUCUUCGGACCUCGCGCUAUUGGAGCGGCCGAUGGCAGAUUAGCUAGUUGGUGGGGUAAAGGCCUACCAAGGCGACGAUCUGUAGCUGGUCUGAGAGGACGACCAGCCACACUGGGACUGAGACACGGCCCAGACUCCUACGGGAGGCAGCAGUGGGGAAUUUUGGACAAUGGGCGAAAGCCUGAUCCAGCAAUGCCGCGUGUGUGAUGAAGGCCUUCGGGUUGUAAAGCACUUUUGGCGGGAACGAAAAGGACUGUGCCAAUACCACGGUUCGAUGACGGUACCCGCAGAAUAAGCACCGGCUAACUACGUG
rnacentral:rRNA from 1 species